UACGUAGGGUCCGAGCGUUGUCCGGAAUUACUGGGCGUAAAGAGCUCGUAGGUGGUUUGUCGCGUUGUUCGUGAAAACUCACAGCUCAACUGUGGGCGUGCGGGCGAUACGGGCAGACUUGAGUACUGCAGGGGAGACUGGAAUUCCUGGUGUAGCGGUGGAAUGCGCAGAUAUCAGGAGGAACACCGGUGGCGAAGGCGGGUCUCUGGGCAGUAACUGACGCUGAGGAGCGAAAAGCGUGGGGGAGCGAACAGG
rnacentral:rRNA from 1 species